CAAGAAAUAGUUUAUUUUAAAAUAUUAAUUUUGGAGAUUAAAGAUGGUUUGUGCUUUUCUUGA
rnacentral:tRNA from 1 species